rnacentral:rRNA from 1 species
GUGGGGAAUAUUGGACAAUGGGCGAAAGCCUGAUCCAGCCAUGCCGCGUGUGUGAAGAAGGUCUUCGGAUUGUAAAGCACUUUAAGUUGGGAGGAAGGGCAGUAAGUUAAUACCUUGCUGUUUUGACGUUACCGACAGAAUAAGCACCGGCUAACUUCGUGCCAGCAGCCGCGGUAAUACGAAGGGUGCAAGCGUUAAUCGGAAUUACUGGGCGUAAAGCGCGCGUAGGUGGUUUUGUAAGUUGGAGGUGAAAUCCCCGGGCUCAACCUGGGAACUGCCUCCAAAACUUCAUGACUAGAGUACGGUAGAGGGUAGUGGAAUUUCCUGUGUAGCGGUGAAAUGCGUAGAUAUAGGAAGGAACACCAGUGGCGAAGGCGACUACCUGGACUGAUACUGACACUGAGGUGCGAAAGCGUGGGGAGCAAACAGGAUUAGAAACCCUUGUAGUCC